GAGUUUGAACCUGGCUCAGGAUGAACGCUGGCGGCGUGCCUAACACAUGCAAGUCGAACGAAGCGCUUUUUUGGAAGCUUUUCGGAGCGGAAGAGGAAGUGACUGAGUGGCGGACGGGUGAGUAACGCGUGGGCAACCUACCCCACACAGGGGGACAACAGCUGGAAACGGCUGCUAAUACCGCAUAGGCGCACAGCUUCGCAUGAAGGAGUGUGGAAAGCAAUGGCGGUGUGGGAUGGGCCCGUGUCUGAUUAGCUGGUUGGUGAGGCAGAGGCUCACCAAGGCGACGAUCAGUAGCCGGCCUGAGAGGGCGGACGGCCACAUUGGGACUGAGACACGGCCCAGACUCCUACGGGAGGCAGCAGUGGGGGAUAUUGCACAAUGGGGGGAACCCUGAUGCAGCGACGCCGCGUGAGCGAAGAAGUAUUUCGGUAUGUAAAGCUCUAUCAGCAGGGAAGAAAAUGACGGUACCUGAGUAAGAAGCC
rnacentral:rRNA from 1 species